GUGAGGAAUAUUGGUCAAUGGGCGAGAGCCUGAACCAGCCAAGUCGCGUGAAGGAUGACUGCCCUAUGGGUUGUAAACUUCUUUUAUAAGGGAAUAAAGUGCGGGACGUGUCCCGUUUUGUAUGUACCUUAUGAAUAAGCAUCGGCUAACUCCGUGCCAGCAGCCGCGGUAAUACGGAGGAUGCGAGCGUUAUCCGGAUUUAUUGGGUUUAAAGGGUGCGUAGGUGGGUAAUUAAGUCAGCGGUGAAAGUUUGUGGCUCAACCAUAAAAUUGCCGUUGAAACUGGUCACCUUGAGUAUGUUUGCUGUAGGCGGAAUGCGUGUUGUAGCGGUGAAAUGCAUAGAUAUCACGCAGAACUCCGAUUGCGAAGGCAGCUUACAAAACCAUCACUGACACUGAAGCACGAAAGCGUGGGAAUCAAACAGG
rnacentral:rRNA from 1 species